UAGGGAAUCUUCCGCAAUGGACGCAAGUCUGACGGAGCAACGCCGCGUGAGUGAAGAAGGAUUUCGGUUCGUAAAACUCUGUUGUUAGAGAAGAACAGCGCAUAGAGUAACUGUUAUGCGUGUGACGGUAUCUAACCAGAAAGCCACGGCUAACUACGUGCCAGCAGCCGCGGUAAUACGUAGGUGGCAAGCGUUGUCCGGAUUUAUUGGGCGUAAAGCGAGCGCAGGCGGUCAAUUAAGUCUGAUGUGAAAGCCCCCGGCUCAACCGGGGAGGGUCAUUGGAAACUGGUUGACUUGAGUGCAGAAGAGGAGAGUGGAAUUCCAUGUGUAACGGUGAAAUGCGUAGAUAUAUGGAGGAACACCAGUGGCGAAGGCGACUUUCUGGUCUGUAACUGACGCUGAUGUGCGAAAGCGUGGGGAUCAAACAGG
rnacentral:rRNA from 1 species